GCCAGCAGCCGCGGUAAUACGUAGGGGGCAAGCGUUGUCCGGAAUUAUUGGGCGUAAAGCGCGCGCAGGCGGUUCGUUAAGUCUGAUGGUAAAGCCCGGGGCUCAACCCCGGUAUUCAUUGGAAACUGGCGGACUGGAGUGCAGGAGAGGGAAGCGGAAUUCCACGUGUAGCGGUGAAAUGCGUAGAGAUGUGGAGGAACACCAGUGGCGAAGGCGGCUUCCUGGCCUGUAACUGACGCUGAGGCGCGAAAGCGUGGGGAGC
rnacentral:rRNA from 1 species